GCAGGUUGGUGGUUUCAAGGGACUGUAGGAGAGAAUGAGAAGAAGCUGCUUAGUGGACCUGUUCCCAGCCAGAGUCCAGUGAGGAAGCAAUGUGGGCAGGUGGAGGCCGGAUUAGGAAGAAGCAGAGCCAUGGCCAGGGGAAAAUAAAGAGGCAUGCCUGAAGCUCCAGAGAGGCAUCGAGGAGGCUGAUAAAGCAAAGUCAAUGAGAAAAUUGGCUCAUAAACAAACUUCAAGAAGUAAAUUUGACAAAAUCUUCUUGGCUGAUUGAGAUUUGCAGAUGCCAAGUGAAAGAUGGGGCAACAGUGGUGAAAUACUCUCUUGAAUCCAGCACAGGAGGGAGAAGAGUAAAGAAAGCUCCUCACACCUGUGAAGGGAGCACAACCACCCUCCUGAGAUGGAAGUAUGACCCCACGAGGGAGGCGAGAAUACUCUGAUGGAGCUCCAUGCCCCGGUGAGGACGAGAGACGAGGGACAAGUCUGCAGGGCAGGACCACCUCAGGCAGCUCUCCUCCUCUGUUCCUUUUUGACCUGAACAGGCAGUAUUUGAAAGCAACUACACGGAGUGCCCCCAGGCUUGUGAGCUUGAAGAAAGUGACCCUGCAGCCAACCAGGGCUCUUCCCUGAUACAGUGAACAGCAACACAGCAAAAGGAGCUCUCAUUACAGUGCACAUUACAUACCACAGAUGAGAAAACUGAGACACACACCAAAAACCCUCCCAGUAGGAUAGAGUUAGUGAGUUAUAGAGCCAGGAUUCUCAAGGAGACAGCCAGAUUCCAGAGGCCAAACUCUUUCUGACGAAGCCGUAUUGUUGCAUUCAGGAGGACCCCCGGGUGUUGCUACAAAGGGCAGCCAGGUUCAAGUGGAAGCCAUGGCAGAAAGUUGGCCCUGGUGCUUCCUCACCAAAGAAAGAGAACAAGAAUGGCAGAGAUGAUACAGAUCCAACGGAAAUGUGCAAGGCCAUGGCUCCCUCCACACUCUGCUC
rnacentral:lncRNA from 1 species